CCUCAAACCACUUGAUUGCAGGAAGAUCUCGCAAGUCAGAAAUGUAAAUGUGGGUACGAAGAAGAGAAUAAUAGCUCCGAUGGUCCAUCUUGCCUGCUUCAAAGGAGUAAUGAAUACUGGGCCACUGGAAUGGGUGAUGUGCAAAGUCCAGGAGUCGUCUGGCAGCUUGACUUACCGCAUAGGAUUUCCGCUUCCUAAGUAUCUUUGAUGGAGUUGAGUGCGUUCCCCGACUUUCAGCGCAUCCUGGUGGAGGCACACUGAAGGGUAUCAUUCAGUCACGAGAUUGUUGAUCAUCUCUUAUGUGCUGCAAGUGCGAUCUACUCUCCAUCUAGGAUCAAGGCAUAGUGUGGCCAAUAUCCUCCGCCUCGCAUUUGGGG
rnacentral:lncRNA from 1 species